rnacentral:tRNA from 1 species
GCCUGGGUGGCUCAGUUGGUUGAGCGUCCGACUACAGCUCAGGUCAUGAUCUCACGGCUUGCGGGUUCGAGCCCCGCGUCGGGCU